rnacentral:rRNA from 1 species
CAGCCUGCCCAGUGACUACGGGUUCAACGGCCGCGGUAUUUUGACCGUGCAAAGGUAGCGCAAUCACUUGUCUCUUAAAUAGAGACCUGUAUGAAUGGCUAGACGAGGGCUUAACUGUCUCCCCCUUCCAGUCAGUGAAAUUGAUCUACCCGUGCAGAAGCGGGUAUAAUAAUACAAGACGAGAAGACCCUUUGGAGCUUAAGGUACAAGAUUCAACCACGUUAAACGACUCGAUAGAAAGCACGAACUUAGUGGUGACUGGAAUUUUACCUUCGGUUGGGGCGACCACGGAGGAAAGAGAAUCCUCCGAGUGGACUGGGCCAAACCCUAAAGCCAAUAGAUACGUCUAUAAGCCGCAGAACAUCUGACCAAAAAUGAUCCGACUGAAAAGCCGAUCAACGAACCAAGUUACCCUAGGGAUAACAGCGCAAUCCUCUCCCAGAGUCCAUAUCGACGAGGGGGUUUACGACCUCGAUGUUGGAUCAGGACAUCCUAAUGGUGCAGCCGCUAU